CAUUAAGUAGUCUAGUGGUAAGUCUCUUGCUUACUAAGCUAUAGGUCGAGGGUUCAAGUCUCCAUUUUAUCA